rnacentral:lncRNA from 1 species
ACUUACUUACACACAAAGAAAGUAAUGGAAUUGUAAGAGCUCUUCUUGGCAAAUUAAAUAUAGAAUUAGUAAUACCUACUGCUAUUGCAGUAAAAAUAGUACCUAUUUUAUAGAGUUGCUGUGAAGAUUACUAUGAUUAUCAUUAUGAUUAUCAUAUCUUAAAUUCAUCCCUUACCUUCAUGCCUUCCUAUGCCUACCACAUUUUUCUAAUUCCCAUUAUAGCAGUCUCAAAACAGUGGCAAAUUCCUAGUCUCUAAUUCCUCAUUCUCCUUUGACUCUCCUCCAUUCAGGCAUUUGUCACCAUCAUGCACUGAAAAUUCACUAUUCCAAAUAUUAUACAUUCUUUAUUGAACCAACACAAAUUUCAAAUGCACCAAUGUUAAAGAAAUUCUGAUAAUGUAAACUAAUUUUUCAAAAGCUGUUUCUUUAAGUAAAAAAUACAUAGUGGAUGCUAUUCAAAUAUGUAAUAGAGAAUUUAAAGCUAUUUAUGCAAUGAAAUUAUAGUUGUGAAUUUACUUUUUAAAUUGUCUUAAUAUUAAAUGCUAUUCUAAAAGUGAAAAGAUUAUUUAGAAAAAUAUAUAGAAUUUGUUGUUCAAAAAAUAUACCAAAACAAUUAUAACAUUUUUAAGGAUGUCAGUAUAAAACAUACAUUUAUAUAGUAAAACUAUGUAAGAUGUUUUGUAAAAUUUUAUCCAUCUAAUAAAACUGAAAUGCAGAAAAAUUUAAAUGGUUGAAUAAAAGCAUUGCUAAAAAGCUUCAUACAGUUCUUAAGAUAUUCCUUACAUUAACUUUUAAGAAACAAAAACCUAUACACACUUCUCCUUGCAGCUGCUUUAUAAAAGUGUAUAUAAAGUUCCAAAACAAACUAUGAAGAAAGGCCCUAUAUUACUUCUGCAUGUCUCUCACUAACAGACAUUUCUCUGUUUGAAACAGAGGGCCUCCUGUUCACUGAAAUGGCUAACAACGUGGAGUUGGUCAUUCUUAAGUAGGCAUAAGGGGAAAAAAAUGUGCAAUUAGAAAAAUAAUAAAUUUACUCAAAUAAUAGACAAAACAGUAACAAGACAGGUACAAACAUCAUUUUAAUUUUGUAAUUAAUAUUUCAUUUUGUAUACAAAGAUAUUUUCUUUAUUUCAUAUAUAAAGUACAUUUCUAAAUAUUUCUUCCCUGGCCACUCUUCUUGUUCAAGUGACAAAGAAGGCUUAGAAUACUAAAAAAAACUCCUGAAAGUUUUAACAGAAACCUGAAGCUACU